CCUACGGGCGACAGCAGUGAGGAAUAUUGGUCAAUGGGCGCGAGCCUGAACCAGCCAAGUAGCGUGAAUGAUGACUGCCCUACGGGUUGUAAACUUCUUUUAUCAAGGAAUAAAGUGAGGCACGUGUGCCUUUUUGUAUGUACUUUAUGAAUAAGGAUCGGCUCACUCAGUGCCAGCAGCCGCGGUAAUACGGAGGAUCCGAGCGUUAUCCGGAUUUAUUUGGUUUAAAGGGAGCGUAGAUGGGUUGUUAAGUCAGUUGUGAAAGUUUGCGGCGCAACCGUAAAAUUGCAAUUGAUACUGGCAGUCUUGAGUACAGUUGAGGUAGGCGGAAUUCGUGGUGUAGCGGUGAAAUGCUUAGAGAUCACGAAGAACUCCGAUUGCGAAGGCAGAUUACUAAACUGCCACUGACAUUGAUGCUCGAAAGUGUGGGUAUCAAACAGGAUUAGAUACCCUUGUAGUC
rnacentral:rRNA from 1 species